AGAGUUUGAUCCUGGCUCAGGAUGAACGCUAGCUACAGGCUUAACACAUGCAAGUCGAGGGGCAGCAUGUUGGUUGCUUGCAACCAAUGAUGGCGACCGGCGCACGGGUGAGUAACGCGUAUCGAACCUGCCUCACACACGGGAACAGCCUUGCGAAAGUAAGAUUAAUGCCCGGUGGUCUUAUAUGAUCGCAUGAUUGUAUAAGUAAAGAUUUAUCGGUGUGAGAUGGCGAUGCGUCCCAUUAGCUUGUUGGCGGGGUAACGGCCCACCAAGGCAUCGAUGGGUAGGGGUUCUGAGAGGAAGGUCCCCCACAUUGGAACUGAGACACGGUCCAAACUCCUACGGGAGGCAGCAGUGAGGAAUAUUGGUCAAUGGACGGAAGUCUGAACCAGCCAAGUAGCGUGCAGGACGACGGCCCUCUGGGUUGUAAACUGCUUUUAGUUGGGAAUAAAACGCGGUACGUGUACCGCCUUGUAUGUACCAUCAGAAAAAGGACCGGCUAAUUCCGUGCCAGCAGCCGCGGUAAUACGGAAGGUUCGGGCGUUAUCCGGAUUUAUUGGGUUUAAAGGGAGCGCAGGCGGACUUUUAAGUCAGCUGUGAAAUCUGGCGGCUCAACCGUCAGACUGCAGUUGAUACUGGAAGUCUUGAGUGCACACAGGGAUGCUGGAAUUCAUGGUGUAGCGGUGAAAUGCUCAGAUAUCAUGAAGAACUCCAAUCGCGAAGGCAGGCAUCCGGGGUGCAACUGACGCUGAGGCUCGAAAGUGCGGGUAUCAAACAGGAUUAGAUACCCUGGUAGUCCGCACAGUAAACGAUGAAUACUCGCGAUUUGCGAUACAAUGUAAGUCGCCAAGCGAAAGCGUUAAGUAUUCCACCUGGGGAGUACGCCGGCAACGGUGAAACUCAAAGGAAUUGACGGGGGCCCGCACAAGCGGAGGAACAUGUGGUUUAAUUCGAUGAUACGCGAGGAACCUU
rnacentral:rRNA from 1 species